rnacentral:rRNA from 1 species
CGAAGGGUGCAAGCGUUACUCGGAAUUACUGGGCGUAAAGCGUGCGUAGGUGGUUUGUUAAGUCUGUCGUGAAAUCCCCGGGCUCAACCUGGGAAUGGCGAUGGAUACUGGCAAGCUAGAGUGAGGUAGAGGAGAGUGGAAUUCCCGGUGUAGCAGUGAAAUGCGUAGAGAUCGGGAGGAACAUCAGUUGCGAAGGCGGCUCUCUGGACCAUCACUGACACUGAGGCACGAAAGCGUGGGGAGCAAACAGGAUUAGAUACCCUGGUAGUCCACGCCCUAAACGAUGCGAACUGGACGUUGGGCUCAAUUAGGAGCUCAGUGUCGAAGCUAACGCGUGAAGUUGACCGCCUGGGGAGUACGGCCGCAAGGUUG